GGGGACGUAGUACAACCUGGCAGUACGGCCGGCUCCAGACCGGUUGACGAGGGUUCAAAUCCCUCCGCCCCCA
rnacentral:tRNA from 1 species